GACGUAGGGCGCGAGCGUUGUCCGGAUUUAUUGGGCGUAAAGAGCUCGUAGGCGGCUUGUCGCGUCGAAUGUGAAAACUCGGGGCUUAACCCCGAGCCUGCAGUGGAUACGGGCAGACUAGAGGUAGGUAGGGGAGAAUGGAAUUCCCGGUGUAGCGGUGAAAUGCGCAGAUAUCGGGAGGAACACCAAAGGCGAAGGCAGUGUCCUGGGGAGUACCUGACGCUCAGGUGCGAAAGCCAGGGGAGCGAACGGG
rnacentral:rRNA from 1 species